UACGGGGGGGGCAAGCGUUGUUCGGAAUUACUGGGCGUAAAGGGCUCGUAGGCGGCCAACUAAGUCAGACGUGAAAUCCCUCGGCUUAACCGGGGAACUGCGUCUGAUACUGGAUGGCUUGAGUUUGGGAGAGGGAUGCGGAAUUCCUGGUGUAGCGGUGAAAUGCGCAGAUAUCAGGAGGAACACCUAUGGCGAAGGCAGCUCGCUGGGACGGUACUGACGCUGAGGCGCGAAAGCGUGGGGAGCGAACAGG
rnacentral:rRNA from 1 species